CACGUAGGGGGCAAGCGUUGUCCGGAUUUAUUGGGCGUAAAGAGCUCGUAGGUGGUUCGGUAAGUCGGGUGUUAAACCCCCAGGCUCAACCUGGGGACGCCACUCGAUACUGCUGUGACUAGAGUCCGGUAGGGGAGCGUGGAAUUCCUGGUGUAGCGGUGAAAUGCGCAGAUAUCAGGAGGAACACCAGCGGCGAAGGCGGCGCUCUGGGCCGGUACUGACGCUGAGACGCGAAAGCGUGGGGAGCAAACAGG
rnacentral:rRNA from 1 species